rnacentral:lncRNA from 1 species
CCUGGAGCUUGCUCUAUAGAGCAGGCUGAUCUCACACUCAGAGAUCUGGCUGUCUCUGCCUCCCAACUGCUGCUGGGAUUACAGACAUUUACCACCACUGCCAGCUCCUAUUUAUUCUUUUACCCUGAAAAAAAAAAAAGACAGCAAAAACAAAAAACAAAACAAACAAACAAACAAAAAAACAACAAAAAAGAAACUCUUUAAGGGUC